rnacentral:rRNA from 1 species
GGAGGAACGGUCCCCCACACUGGUACUGAGACACGGACCAGACUCCUACGGGAGGCAGCAG